rnacentral:rRNA from 1 species
UGCUAGUCGCACGGGCUUAGACCCGUGGCAUAUAGCUCAGUAACACGUGGCCAAACUACCCUACAGACCGCGAUAACCUCGGGAAACUGAGGCCAAUAGCGGAUAUAACUCUCAGGCUGGAGUGCCGAGAGUUAGAAACGUUCCGGCGCUGUAGGAUGUGGCUGCGGCCGAUUAGGUAGAUGGUGGGGUAACGGCCCACCAUGCCGAUAAUCGGUACGGGUUGUGAGAGCAAGAACCCGGAGACGGUAUCUGAGACAAGAUACCGGGCCCUACGGGGCGCAGCAGGCGCGAAACCUUUACACUGCACGACAGUGCGAUAGGGGGACUCCGAGUGCGAGGGCAUAUAGCCCUCGCUUUUCUGUACCGUAAGGUGGUACAGGAACAAGGACUGGGCAAGACCGGUGCCAGCCGCCGCGGUAAUACCGGCAGUCCAAGUGAUGGCCGAUAUUAUUGGGCCUAAAGCGUCCGUAGCCGGCCGGACAAGUCCGUUGGGAAAUCGACGCGCUCAACGCGUCGGCGUCCAGCGGAAACUGUCCGGCUUGGGGCCGGAAGACCUGAGGGGUACGUCCGGGGUAGGAGUGAAAUCCUGUAAUCCUGGACGGACCACCAAUGGGGAAACCACCUCAGGAAGACGGACCCGACGGUGAGGGACGAAAGCUAGGGUCUCGAACCGGAUUAGAUACCCGGGUAGUCCUAGCUGUAAACGAUGCUCGCUAGGUGUGCCGUAGGCUACGAGCCUGCGCUGCGCCCUAGGGAAGCCGAGAAGCGAGCCGCCUGGGAAGUACGUCUGCAAGGAUGAAACUUAAAGGAAUUGGCGGGGGAGCACCACAACCGGAGGAGCCUGCGGUUUAAUUGGAUUCAACGCCGGAAUC